AUGACGUAUGUGUGCCUAUGUGCCA
rnacentral:siRNA from 1 species